AGCCUCAUUCUAGAUGCAAAUGGGAACUGUUGUGCAUGGUGUCCAGAUAUUACUGAUGUGGCCACACUGAGACAUAGGUUUUGUUUCCAUCACAGUAAGUUUAUUGCAGUGGUGACAAGGAGACCUGUAACAUGU